rnacentral:misc_RNA from 1 species
AACGCAUAUUGCGCCCUUUGGCAUUCCGAAGGGCAUGCCUGUUCGAGCGUCAUUAUCACCCCUCAAGCCCGGCUUGUUGUUGGAUCGCGCCCCGCCCCUCCCGGCGGGACCGGUCCCAAAGAUAAUGACGGCGUCUGUGAGGACUCCAGUACACUGAGCUUUCGGGCACGUACUCGGCUAGAAAUUCAGACCCGUCCAACCGACCUCCCCCGUCACACGGGGAGCUCAUUUACCAAGGUUGACCUCGGAUCAGGUAGGAAUACCCGCUGAACUUAA